rnacentral:rRNA from 1 species
AGAGUUUGAUCUGGCUCAGGAUGAACGCUGGCGGCGUGCUUAACACAUGCAAGUCGAACGGACCCAUAUUGAAACCUAGUGAUAUAUGGGUUAGUGGCGGACGGGUGAGUAACGCGUGGGUAACCUGCCUUACACAGGGGGAUAACACUUAGAAAUAGGUGCUAAAACCGCAUAAGCGCACAGCUUCGCAUGAAGCGGUGUGAAAAACUCCGGUGGUGUAAGAUGGACCCGCGUCUGAUUAGCUUGUUGGCGGGGUAACGGCCCACCAAGGCGACGAUCAGUAGCCGGCCUGAGAGGGCGGACGGCCACAUUGGGACUGAGACACGGCCAAGACUCCUACGGGAGGCAGCAGUGGGGAAUAUUGCACAAUGGGGGAAACCCUGAUGCAGCGACGCCGCGUGAGUGAAGAAGUAAUUCGUUACGUAAAGCUCUAUCAGCAGGGAAGAAAAUGACGGUACCUGAGUAAGAAGCCCCGGCUAACUACGUGCCAGCAGCCGCGGUAAUACGUAGGGGGCAAGCGUUAUCCGGAUUUACUGGGUGUAAAGGGAGCGUAGACGGUGCGCCAAGUCUGGAGUGAAAUGCCGCAGCUUAACUGCGGAACUGCUUUGGAAACUGGCGAACUAGAGUGCGGGAGGGGUAAGCGGAAUUCCUAGUGUAGCGGUGAAAUGCGUAGAUAUUAGGAGGAACACCGGUGGCCAAGGCGGCUUACUGGACCGUAACUGACGUUGAGGCUCGAAAGCGUGGGGAGCAAACAGGAUUAAAUACCCCCUGGUAGUCCACGCCGUAAACGAUGAUUACUAGGUGUCGGGGACCCAAGGGUCUCCGGUGCCCCCGCAAACGCAUUAAGUAAUCCACCUGGGGAGUAAGUUCGCAAGAAUGAAACUCAAAGGAAUUGACGGGGACCCGCACAAGCGGUGGAGCAUGUGGUUUAAUUCGAAGCAACGCGAAGAACCUUACCUGCCCUUGACAUCCGGAUGAAUAAGGGGUAAUGCCCUUAGCCCUUCGGGGCAUCCGAGACAGGUGGUGCAUGGUUGUCGUCAGCUCGUGUCGUGAGAUGUUGGGUUAAGUCCCGCAACGAGCGCAACCCCUAUCUUCAGUAGCCAGCAUUCAGGAUGGGAACUUUGGAGAGACUGCCCGGGACAACCGGGAGGAAGGCGGGGAUGACGUCAAAUCAUCAUGCCCCUUAUGGGCAGGGCUACACACGUGCUACAAUGGCGAAAACAGAGGGAAGCGAGCCGGUGACGGUAAGCAAACCCCAAAAACAUCGUCCCAGUUCGGACUGUAGUCUGCAACCCGACUACACGAAGCCGGAAUCGCUAGUAAUCGCGGAUCAGAAUGCCGCGGUGAAUACGUUCCCGGGUCUUGUACUCACCGCCCGUCA